rnacentral:tRNA from 1 species
ACUAUUUUGACAGAUAAGUGUAAUAGAUUUAGAAUCUAUAAAUGUAGUUUAUAUUACAAAUAGUA